UACGAGGGGGGCAAGCGUUGUUCGGAUUUACUGGGCGUAAAGGGCGCGUAGGCGGCGCAACAAGUCACUUGUGAAAUCUCCGGGCUUAACUCGGAGCGGCCAAGUGAUACUGUCGUGCUAGAGUGCGGAAGGGGCUACUGGAAUUCUCGGUGUAGCGGUGAAAUGCGUAGAUAUCGAGAGGAACACCUGCGGCGAAGGCGGGUAGCUGGGCCGACACUGACGCUGAGGCGCGAAAGCCAGGGGAGCGAACGGG
rnacentral:rRNA from 1 species